GACGAACGCUGGCGGCGUGCUUAACACAUGCAAGUCGAACGGAAAGGCCCUGCUUUUGUGGGGUGCUCGAGUGGCGAACGGGUGAGUAACACGUGAGUAACCUGCCCUUGACUUUGGGGUAACUUCAGGAAACUGGGGCUAAUACCGGAUAGGAGCUCCUGCUGCAUGGUGGGGGGUGGAAAGUUUCGGCGGUUGGGGAUGGACUCGCGGCUUAUCAGCUUGUUGGUGGGGUAGUGGCUUACCAAGGCGUUGAGGGGUAGCCGGCCUGAGAGGGUGACCGGCCACAUUGGGACUGAGAUACGGCCCAGACUCCUACGGGAGGCAGCAGUGGGGAAUAUUGCACAAUGGGCGGAAGCCUGAUGCAGCAACGCCGCGUGCGGGAUGACGGCCUUCGGGUUGUAAACCGCUUUCGCCUGUGACGAAGCGUGAGUGACGGUAAUGGGUAAAGAAGCACCGGCUAACUACGUG
rnacentral:rRNA from 1 species